UACGGAGGUCUCAAGCGUUGUUCGGAUUCAUUGGGCGUAAAGGGUGCGUAGGUGGCGGGGUAAGUCAGGUGUGAAAUCUCGGGGCUCAACCCCGAAACUGCAUUUGAUACUGCCUUGCUCGAGUACUGGAGAGGAGAUUGGAAUUUACGGUGUAGCAGUGAAAUGCGUAGAUAUCGUAAGGAAGACCAGUGGCGAAGGCGAAUCUCUGGACAGUUACUGACACUGAGGCACGAAGGCCAGGGGAGCAAACGGG
rnacentral:rRNA from 1 species